UCUCUCCCUUUGAUUUCUUCUUCCUCCUCUGCUUGAUGGAUCUUACCUCCAGCAAGGGCGGCAACAUCCUCAGUUCCUCCAGCGACUAAUGGCAACUGGGCCUCUGUCCUCUCCGCCAUCGACCCCUCGAGUGCUCCCCCCCGUCGUCUGCGCCAUCCUCUUCGUCCCCGCCAUCACCAACGCUGCCGUCUCCUCUACAACGUCACAGCCCUCAACGCCUCGUCCUCUCGCAACUCAAGCUCUUGAGCACAGGCCCGCCUCGCCUGUCGACCCUCCUCCUGCCCACAACUCUACCCCUCGAAUGCUCCCCGUCCUCGUGCCCCACCUCUUCUCCUUCCGACGCCAUCGCCGUGCACACCAUCGCCCGGAUCCUCGAUUACUCGGUCUCGGCUUUGAGGAAAUUACUGGCCAAGCGCUCCUUUUCUCCAUUAAUUUUUGCUGUUCUUUUUCCGAGUUCUUGUCGAGCUAUUCAAGCCAGGGGAAAUACAUAUGAUUUUUCUUUCUUUCUUUCUGUAAAUUCUGAGAUCAUACAAAAGUCUAUUAGAAUACGAUUUUUCGAGUUGGGAGAUCAACAAGGAAAGAAGCUGUGUUUUUUUUUUUUUUUUUUCUGAGUUCGACUUCAGGCCCGCAACUCAUUCGGCACAUUGAUAAGGUAAAGUAAGUGGCAUUUGGAGAAAGUGCAUUAAACUCGCAUUUUCAUAGGACUUCAUGGUUCCACAAUGACCCAAAUGAAAAACAGAACUAAGAAAACUCACCACUACUUAGGCACGUAAAAUGAAAAACCCAGUGCCUCAAGCACACAGUACGUACUGCUGACCCACAAUUUACACAACACAUGAAGAACCAAAGUUCUCUCUCUCUCUCUCCCCUCUGUGAUUAGCCUUCUGAUGAUGUCUUGAGGGCAUUAUUCGUAAUUACAAGGUGGAAGAGCUCGUGAAGGAACCAAGAGCCUUGAAAGCUGCAGCUCUCAGGAUGAACUGGUAAUAGAAGGCUGCAAUGGCCGCUCCAACGAAUGGCCCCACCCAGAAUAUCCACUGCACAAUUCAAUAUGGAAAAACAAAAGAGAACACGAUGUGAAUCCUCUAUGGUCCGGUUAACUUUACUAGAUGAAGUGUACUAGAGCUAGGGAAGGAGUUCGAAUUCGUUACUUGGUCAUCCCACGCCUUCUCCUUGUCGUACAUCACCGCAGCUCCGAAGCUCCGGGCCGGGUUGAUGCCCGUGCCGGUGAUCGGGAUCGUGGCGAGGUGGACCAUGAACACCGCGAAUCCGAUGGGCAGCGGCGCCAACACCUUUCAUGCACGAUGCGCACGGUUUCAAAAUCAAAUUCCAAAGAAACAGAAAGGGGGGAGAGGCAAAAUGGGUAGGGGUUGUUAGCUUACGGGGACGUGGGAGUCCCGAGCUUUCCUCUUGGGGUCGGUGGCGGAGAAGACGGUGUAGACGAGGACGAAGGUGCCGAUGAUCUCGGCGCCCAGCCCGGUGCCCUUGCUGUAGCCGUCCGCGAGCAUGUUGGCCCCGCCCUCGUACCGCUCGUAGUAGGCCCUCUGGAAGGCCUUCACGAGGCCGCACCCGCACACCGCGCCGAGGCACUGGGCCACCAUGUAGAGGAUGGCCCGCACCAGCGACACCUUCCUCGCCAGGAACAGCCCGAACGUCACCGCCGGGUUUAUGUGCCCCCC